GGAUAUUGGGCGUAAGAGCUCGUAGGCGGUUUGUCGCGUCUGCCGUGAAAGUCCGGGGCUCAACUCCGGAUCUGCGGUGGGUACGGGCAGACUAGAGUGAUGUAAGGGAGACUGGAAUUCCUGGUGUAGCGGUGAAAUGCGCAGAUAUCAGGAGGAACACCGAUGGCGAAGGCAGGUCUCUGGGCAUUAACUGACGCUGAGGAGCGAAAGCAUGGGGAGCGAACAGGAUUAGAUACCCUGGUAGUCCAUGCCGUAAACGUUGGGCACUAGGUGUGGGGGACAUUCCACGUUUUCCGCGCCGUAGCUAACGCAUUAAGUGCCCCGCCUGGGGAGUACGGCCGCAAGGCUAAAACUCAAAGGAAUUGACGGGGGCCCGCACAAGCGGCGGAGCAUGCGGAUUAAUUCGAUGCAACGCGAAGAACCUUACCAAGGCUUGACAUGGACCGGACCGCCGAAAAAAUGUGGUUUCCCCUUUGGGGCUGAUUUACAGGUGGUGCAUGGUUGUCGUCAGCUCGUGUCGUGAGAUGUUGGGUUAAGUCCCGCAACGAGCGCAACCCUCGUUCUAUGUUGCCAGCACGUGAUGGUGGGCACUCAUAGGACACUGCCGGAGUCAACUCG
rnacentral:rRNA from 1 species